UAAGACAGAGGGUGCAAACGUUGUUCGGAAUUACUGGGCGUAAAGCGCGUGUAGGCGGCCCUGCAAGUCGGGUGUGAAAUCCCAUGGCUCAACCAUGGAAGUGCACUCGAAACUGCAGGGCUAGAGUCCUGGAGAGGAAGGUGGAAUGCUUGGUGUAGAGGUGAAAUUCGUAGAUAUCAAGCGGAACACCGGUGGCGAAGGCGGCCUUCUGGACAGUGACUGACGCUGAGACGCGAAAGCGUGGGGAGCAAACAGGAUUAGAUACCCUGGUAGUCCACGCCGUAAACGAUGAGUGCUAGGUGUCACGGGCUUUGACCCUCGUGGUGCCGAAGCUAACGCGUUAAGCACUCCGCCUGGGGAGUACGGCCGCAAGGCUA
rnacentral:rRNA from 1 species